GGCGUAAGGGUGAGUAAUGGAUAGGUAACGUGCCCUCCGCUUCGGAAUAGCGUCGGUUGCUUCGGCAACCUUCCGAAAGGGGCAAUAAUACCGAAUAAUAUUACUUGUCGAUGGGCAAGUAAUCAAAGAUUUAUCGGCAGAGGAGCGGCCUAUCUCUUAUCAGCUUGUUGGUGAGGUAAUGGCUCACCAAGGCUAUGACGGGUAGCGGGACUGAGAGGUUGACCCGCCACAUCGGGACUGAGACACUGCCCGGACCUCCACGGAGGGCUGCAGUAACGAAUAUUGCGCAAUGGGCGAAAGCCUGACGCAGCGACGCCGCGUGCGGGAAGAAGUCCCUCGGGAUGCAAACCGCUGUCAGGGAUCACAAAGUUCGCUUCGGCGGAUUGAUCAGUCCCAAAGGAAGUCACGGGCUAACUUCGUGCCAGCAGCCGCGGUAAGACCAAAGGUGGCAAGCGUUGUUCGGUAUCACUGGGCUUAAAGAGUGUGUAGGCGGAAAGGUAAGCGUCCUGUGAAAGCCCCCGGCUUAACCGGGGAAUUGCGCGACGAACUGUCUUUCUUGAGCCAAGUAGGGGUGCAGGAACUGU
rnacentral:rRNA from 1 species